UACGGAGGGUGCAAGCGUUAUCCGGAUUCACUGGGUUUAAAGGGUGCGUAGGAGGGCAGGUAAGUCAGUGGUGAAAUCUCCAAGCUUAACUUGGAACUGCCGUUGAUACUAUCUGUCUUGAAUACCGUGGAGGUGAGCGGAAUAUGUCAUGUAGCGGUGAAAUGCUUAGAUGAUGACAUAGAACACCAAUUGCGAAGGCAGCUCGCUACACGAAUAUUGACUCUGAGGCACGAAAGCGUGGGGAUCAAACAGG
rnacentral:rRNA from 1 species